AAUCCAGUUUCUUCCCCAUGUCGUGAACCUGGAAAAUACAAGGAGCCGUGAAUCACUGCUUCCUCCGGACCUGCGGGUAGUUUUAUUGGUCGGGAGGAAAAACUAUAGCAUUUACUUUUCAGAAAGGAAGAGGGCUCUUGCAAGUCGUAAUCAUCAUAACAGCUAAUUAUUUCGUGCCUCUUGAUUUUGAGCCUUGUGCAAGGAUUCGUGCUAAUCUAAAAAAAAAAAAACAAAACACAGGGCAAGGACUUUCCAGAAAGCCGGAAGCAGAGAGAUGGGUGGAGGACAAGUUUUACCCAAGGAGGAGGCCUUGCUGCUGCCGUUUGGGGAAGCCCUGGGAGUUCUUGAUUUGCAAACAUCCCCUUGCAGAAGCAUCUAGACUGUUGGUGCACAUUUCCCCUACCUGGUGAUGUAAGCCCCAAAGAUAUGAGGGCAGUGGUUAGCGAGAAUUGAGCUUCUCAGAACUGGAGACCCUGCCUAGGGGUCUUGGAGGCCAGUGGAAGAUACACUGAGAUAAGCUGCAUCUGUCUGUUCCUACCUACAAAAUUGAGAACGUAUCAAAAUCUUUGAGUGCACAGACACAAGUCUGCAUUCAUGUGUGCAUGGGAUGUUCUUUCCCUGACAGUUCAUAACUCACCAGGAAGCACUGCAGGCAGGUCUACCAUCCUCGCUCACAGAUGAAGACACAAAGCGUAGAACUAGGUAAUGGCUGAGUUGGUACCCAAGCCUUAACAAUAACUAAUACUUCUCUAGCAGUUACUAUGCACUUUAAAGAUAUUAACUUAUUUAACUUUCAUAACAGCCCUAUGAGGUGGAUACUAUUAUUCUCUCUAUUUUCCAGGUGAGGAAAUAGAAGCACAGAGAGAUGAAGUAACUCAUCAAACAUCACAGAGCAGAUCCAAUUUUAUGUUCUGAAUAAAAUAAAAAGAUGGAUAGGAAUCCUAAAGGAAAUUGACAGUGCUAUUUAUCUAGUGUAAAGUUGGGCAAACGAUCCUGAAACAUAAGCUGCUUUACUGCAGCAAUGAGAGGUGGGCUACCUAGGGUGCUGUGACUGAAUGGGUUUCUUUCUGCCCUGAAUGAACCCCACCCACAGCCUGCCCUCCUCCAGGCCCCUUCACACCGGCCACACACUGACCCAAACUUUCAGGGAAGGAGGAUUACGAAUAAAUGCGGAGAAGGUCACCAACAUUCCUUAAACACCAUGAAGUUCAUGAUAACAGUAGCUACCAUUUGUGGAGUGUUUACUGUGUGCCAGCUACUACUGGAGAUAAUUUACAGGUAUCAAUUGAUUUAAUCCUCAUGGCAACCUUAUGAGGUAUUAAAAUCCCCGUUCUACAUACGAGGAAACUAAGACUCAGAACAAUUUAUUCACUUGCAUGUGAGCACCCAACCAGUAAAGUAAAGUGCUAAAUCGGCGAUUUCAUUUCCAGA